GAUCACUUCAGCAGCACAUAUACUAAAAUUGGAACAAUACAGAGAUUAGCAUGCCUCCUGCGCACGGAUGAUACACAAAUUCGCUGAAGCAUUCUAUUUUUAC